GGGACCUGGGAAGUUGAGGCAGCCUCGGCUGCGCCCACCUUCGGGGUCGAUGGUCCCUUCUCCUCGGUUGACUGAGCAGCGCUAGCUGCAACCGCCGCGGGGGCAGACGGCGUAACUGCCGACUCACUGACUGUGGGCCGGACAGCCGCCGGAGGCCGUUGUGACGCUGCCCCCUGACGCGUCACAUCGGCAAAGCUUUUCUUGGGCAGGAUGGGCACGACCGCAAGUACGCGGCGUGCUCCCCAUCACAGUUUACACAGCGGAGAGCGUUCUCACAAGUUUCAGUGGUGUGUUCUUUGGCACUGCAUUUAGCACAAGUUUGGCGGCCUCGGCAGCUCUGCGAGCUGUGGCCGAAGCGCUGGCAUUUGAAACAUCGGAGUGGAUUAAGCACGUAAGGCCUGACACGGAGCUUUAUGUACCCGGCCUCGAUUGAUUCGGGCAGGACACUUGAAUUGAAGGUCCCCAUCCAAACGGAACAAAGGGAACAGGCGAUGUUCCCUUUGUAAGAGCUAUCGGACGGUAACUUGCCGCCAAGCAAGGGUCUUUACCCUGCUUAAGAACAGGAACCACAAUCGCUUCUUUCCAUGUGGAUAGGAGGUAUCCCGACGCCCAGAUAUUGUUGAAAAAUUCGGCUUCCCGACACUCCAAUAGGACGUGAAGGACGGUCAGCCUCUCACCACAUCGACCACAGGAAUUUGUUGUCCGCCCAGUUCUACGCAAGGAUCUGGGACCAGGCCUCUCUUUCUUGUGAAGAGAACACAAGAACUUUUGUGGGGGUUGACAUUAAAUCCAUUCUGGUCUGCCCAUUUGGACACCUUGUUUAAGCCCUGCUGUACCUGGCUUUCGCAUACUGUGAGGCUGCAGGAUUUGAAGCCUAUUUGUAUAUC